rnacentral:rRNA from 1 species
UACGAAGGGGGCUAGCGUUGUUCGGAAUUACUGGGCGUAAAGCGCACGUAGGCGGGCGAUUAAGUCAGGGGUGAAAUCCUGGAGCUCAACUCCAGAACUGCCUUUGAUACUGAGAGGCUCGAGUCCGGGAGAGGUGAGUGGAACUCCGAGUGUAGAGGUGAAAUUCGUAGAUAUUCGGAAGAACACCAGUGGCGAAGGCGGCUCACUGGCCCGGUACUGACGCUGAGGUGCGAAAGCGUGGGGAGCAAACAGG